UUGGAGCGGUCGUUCUAGCAGGCUUCUGCCUCCCUUUCCUUCUCUCCCCUGUGUCGUCUGUGGGGAGCUGCUCCUGUCUAACCGCCUCUCCUCUCUAGCCUCCCACUGAAUGCCUCUGGUCUCACCCGCCGUGUGAAAGACGUUUGGCCACUCCAUACUAACCAUGGUGCUCCAGCUCUGCAGCUGCCUCUCUGGAGGCGGGUGGCAGCGUCGUCCUUAGGCCGUGGGUUGGGACAUAGUUGGGGUCGCAGCUCCUCGGAGCGGGGAUCAGGAGGGAGAGUGUGCUGAGAUGCACUCUGAGUUUCUGUCACUGACUUUACUACUGUCACGUAGGAGGCCCAGUAGGACCUCCAGACGGAGCUCAAGUUUCUGAUUUGUUGCCAACAGACGUACAGGGAUCUCGGUGCUGGCAGCCGUGGCGAGCAGAGUCCCCGCCGGGAGAGGAGACCUUCCCCAGCUCCCCCUGGGGCCUGUGUUGCUGGCCGCACCCCGACUGCUGAGCCCCGGCCCAGUGAGCUGGCUAAGCAUUUGGAGCAGAGACUGGGGAGGCACCAGCCAGAGCCUGAACCAUCCCGCGGGUUCUUUGCUGACCAGUGGGAACUUUCUCUUAGUCUCCGCUCCUCCAACCGC